GGAUUAAACCAAAUUCAGGAUGCUAUCGCGGCGUAUAAGAAGGGACUCGAGAUUGAUCCCAACAAUGAAGCGUUGAAAUCCGGUUUGGCUGAUGCUCAGGCCGCAGCUUCCAGGUCGCGAGCCGUGCCGCCGCCGAGUCCGUUUGGGGAUGCCUUCUCUGGGCCGGAGAUGUGGGCCAAAUUGACGGCGGAUCCAACUACGAGGAUGUAUCUGCAGCAACCGGAUUUUGUUAAGAUGAUGCAGGAGAUUCAAAAGAAUCCUAGCAAUUUGAAUCUGUACUUGAAAGAUCAGAGAGUGAUGCAAGCCUUGGGUGUUUUAUUGAACGUGAAAUUCAGAGCACCAAAUGCUGGAGA
rnacentral:misc_RNA from 1 species